AGAAUUGAAACACCUAUUCUUUAUUGAACUUGAUCUUUCUUCAACUAAUAAUACCACAGUGAAUACACCCUCAGUUUCUUAUUGAAUACUAAUAAUACAUUCUCAAGUAAUAAAAGAAAAAAACAUGUACUAUAAAUUAUUUGUAGGAUGCUAAGAAUUUUAUUUUACACACUAAAAAACUAAUAAAUAAGAGUUUGGAUCCAUGCUGCGAUGGAGCAAAAUCAAAGUCGUUUAUCAAAAUUUAGAUUCAAGUUAUACUUAACUAAAUUUUGAUUCAACGGCUCUGCAGUUGCUACACCUGUUGCAGAC
rnacentral:lncRNA from 1 species